GGCCAAGUUUUUAAGGGCGCACGGUGGAUGCCUUGGUACCAGGAACCGAUGAAGGACGUGGGAGGCCGCGAUAGGCCCCGGGGAGCUGUCAACCGAGCUUUGAUCCGGGGGUGUCCGAAUGGGGAAACCCGGCAGUCGUCAUGGGCUGUCACCUGCCGCUGAAUGUAUAGGCGGUGUGGAGGGAACGCGGGGAAGUGAAACAUCUCAGUACCCGUAGGAAGAGAAAACAACCGUGAUUCCGGGAGUAGUGGUGAGCGAAACCGGAGGAGGCUAAACCGUAUGUGUGUGAUACCCGGCAGGGGUUGCGCAUGCGGGGUUGUGGGAUUUCAUUGC
rnacentral:rRNA from 1 species